AACGAACGCUGGCGGCAUGCCUAACACAUGCAAGUCGAACGAGACCUUCGGGUCUAGUGGCGCACGGGUGCGUAACGCGUGGGAACGUGCCCUUAGGUUCGGAAUAACUCCCCGAAAGGGGUGCUAAUACCGGAUAAUGUCUUCGGACCAAAGAUUUAUCGCCUUUGGAGGGGCCCGCGUUGGAUUAGCUAGUUGGUAGGGUAAAAGCCUACCAAGGCGACGAUCCAUAGCUGGGCUGAGAGGAUGAUCAGCCACACUGGGACUGAGACACGGCCCAGACUCCUACGGGAGGCAGCAGUGGGGAAUAUUGCACAAUGGGCGAAAGCCUGAAGCAGCAAUGCCGCGUGAGUGAUGAAGGUCUUAGGGUUGUAAAGCUCUUUUACCCGGGACGAUAAUGACGGUACCCGGAGAAUAAGCGCCGGCUAACUUCGUG
rnacentral:rRNA from 1 species